UGGUUCUGGCAUCGAUGAAGAACGCAGCGAAAUGCGAUAAGUAAUGCGAAUUGCAGAAUUUCAGUGAGUCAUCGAAUCUUUGAACGCACAUUGCGCCCUUUGGUAUUCCGAAGGGCAUGCCUGUUCGAGCGUCAUUAUCACCCCUCAAGCCCCGUGCUUGGUGUUGGACGGCCUGGUCGGUGACACGACCCCUCCUAAAGACAAUGACGGCGGCCCGUGGAGCCCCCGGUACACUGAGCUUCUUAACCGAGCACGUACCGGACGAGGGCGCCCGGGACCCGGUCUUCUCCCACUGGGAACUUUCUAAGUUUUGACCUCGGAUCAGGUAGGGAUACGCGCUGA
rnacentral:misc_RNA from 1 species